rnacentral:rRNA from 1 species
AGAGUUUGAUCCUGGCUCAGGAUUGAACCGCCUAGCGGCGCGCUUUAAUGCAAUGCAAAGUCGAGCGAUGAGGGGUCCCUUCGGGAUUCACAUUCAGCGGGCAGACGGGUGAGUUAACACGUUGGGCGACCUGCCCCCGAGAGAGGAAUAACGGGUGGAAACACACGCUAAAACCUGAUACCCUCAAAGAGUCACAUCUUUGAGGAAAACUCCGGUGCUCGGGGAGGGGCCUGCGGCCCAUCAGCUAGUUGGUAGGGUAACGGCCUACCAAGGCGAAGACGGGUAGGGGGUGUGAGAGCACGGCCCCCCACAAUGGGACUGAGACACGGCCCAUACUCCUACGGGAGGCAGCAGCAGGGAAUAUUGCACAAUGGACGCAAGUCUGAUGCAGCGACGCCGCGUGAGCGAAGACGGCCUUCGGGUUGUAAAGCUCUUUUCGGGGGGAAGAGAUAGGACGGUACCCCCGGAAUAAGUGUCGGCUAACUACGUGCCAGCAGCCGCGGUAAUACGUAGGACACAAGCGUUAUCCGGAUUUACUGGGCGUAAAGCGUCUGUAGGCGGUUGGGUAAGUUGGGCGUGAAAGCUCCGGGCUUAACCCGGAGAGGCCGUUCAAUACUGCCGAACUAGAGGGCGAGAGAGGGGAGCGGAAUUCCUGGUGUAGCGGUAAAAUGCGCAGAUAUCAGGAGGAACACCAGUGGCGCAGGCGGCUCCCUGGAUCGCAACUGACGCUGAGAGACGACAGCUAGGGGAGCAAACAGGAUUAGAGACCCUGGUAGUCCUAGCCGUAAACGCUGGAUGCUAGGUGUGGGGCCGAUAGGUUCCGUGCCGGAGCUAACGCGCUAAGCAUCCCGCCUGGGGAGUACGGCCGCAAGGCUAAAACUCAAACGAAUUGACGGGCCCCGCACAAGCAGCGGAGCGUGUGGUUUGAUUCGAUGCUACACGAAGAACCUUACCUGGGUUUGACAUGAAGGUGGUAGUGAGUCGAAAGGCGAGCGACCCUUCGGGGAGCCUUCACAGGUGCUGCAUGGCUGUCGUCAGCUCGUGCCGUGAGGUGUCGGGUUAAGUCCCGUAACGAGCGCAACCCUUGCCCCUAGUUACAAGUGUCUAGGGGGACUGCCGGCGGAAAGCCGGAGGAAGGUGGGGAUGACGUCAAGUCAGCAUGGCCCUUAUGUCCAGGGCUACACACACGCUACAAUGGUCGGUACAAAGGGCAGCGAAGCCGCGAGGUGCAGCGAAUCCCACGAAAGCCGGCCUCAGUACGGAUUGCAGGCUGCAACCCGCCUGCAUGAAGCUGGAGUUGCUAGUAACCGCGCGUCAGCUAUAGUGCGGUGAAUACGUUCCCGGGGCUUGUACACACCGCCCGUCACGUCAUGGGAGUCGGUAACGCCUGAAGCCGGCAGUCUAACCGGAAACGGAGGACGCUGUCGAAGGCGGGGCUGGCGACUGGGACGAAGUCGUAACAAGGUAACC